AUGGAUACGGUCUGCGGCAGCGAGCCGCCGCAGUCGAAGAAGGUGUGCGUCAUCGGGGCCGGCAUGGCCGGGCUGGCCGCGGCGCGCGAGCUGCGCCGGGAGGCCCACGACGUGACGGUGCUGGAGCAGAGCGGCGACGUAGGCGGGCAGUGGCUGUACGACCCGAGGACCGACGCCGCCGACCCGCUCGGCGUGGCGGCGCCGGUGAAGGUGCACAGCAGCAUAUACGCCUCGCUCCGGCUCAUCAGCCCCCGGCAGAGCACGGGCUUCACCGACUUCCCCUUCUGCCCCAAGAGCGGCCGCGACGACCGCCGCUUCCCGGGCCACCGCGAGGUGCACCUGUACCUCAAGGACUUCUGCAAUGCGUUCGGGCUCAUGGAGGCCGUGAGGCUCAACACCAGGGUCCUGCACGCCGCCAUGACGCCGGCGCGUCGGUGGGCGGUGAGAUCCAUGGACCUCGGGCUCGUGGAGUGCGAUGAUACGGACGAGAAGACGUUGGACGCGUACGUGGACGAGGUGUUCGACGCCGUCGUCGUCGCCACCGGCCACUACUCGCAGCCAAGAUUGCCAAGCAUCGAAGGCAUGGAGACGUGGCGGGGGAGGCAGAUGCACAGCCACUCGUACAGGGUGCCGGAGCCGUUCCGCGGCGAGGUGGUGGUGGUGGUCGGGUGCGGGGAGAGCGGCAAAGACAUCGCCAUGGAGAUCCGCGGCGUGGCCAAGGAGGUGUACCUCGUCGCCGGGUCCAUGGAGGCGGUCACCCCAGGCUUGUCCAAGGUGCUGGCCAAGCACAGCGCCAACCUCCAUCUCCGACUUGAGGUGGAGCGUCUGUGCGAGGACGGGCGGGUGGCGUUCAAGGACGGCGGCGGCUCCAGCUCCAGCAUCGCCGCCGACACCGUCAUCUACUGCACGGGGUACAGCUACUCGUUCCCGUUCCUGGAGACGGGCGGGGCGGUGGCCGUGGACGACAACCGCGUGGGCCCGCUGUUCGAGCACGUGUUCCCGCCGUCCCUGGCGCCGUCGCUCUCCUUCGUCGGCGUGCCGAGAAAGAUCUUCGCGCCCCGCUUCUUCGAGACCCAGGCCCGGUGGGUGGCGCAGGUGCUGUCCGGCAGGCGGGCGCUGCCGGCGGAGGAGGAGAUGCUUCGGUCCGUGGAGGAGUUCUACCGCGCCAGGGAGGCCGCCGGCGUGCCCCGCAAGUACACCCACGAGAUCGGCAGGCGGGAUAUCACGUACAUGGACGAUUUCGGGGAGAAGUACUGCGACUUCCCUCGCGUGGAGGGGUGGAAGCACGAGCUGCUCGUGUCGUCCGUGCGCGGCAUGAUUGAGAACCUCGAGACCUUCCGCGACGACUACAAGGACACCGGCUCCAUCCGUAGGGCUAUGCAGGAGUGGCAUCUCUCUUGUGUGCAAUGGCAAAGCUCGCCACCUAGUUGUUGCAGCUACACAGACGGUCGUCCCUGCCCAACUGGUCUCCAUCAACGAGCACAAUGA
rnacentral:rRNA from 1 species